rnacentral:tRNA from 1 species
AGACACUUAGGUUAAACAAACCAGGGGCCUUCAAAGCCCCAAAUAGGGACCACCCCCUAGUUUCUG